GACGUGGUAGUUAAGAUAUAACGUUUGUUUUACACACAGAAAACGGGGUUUAGUAUUGCUCCCAGCGUUA
rnacentral:tRNA from 1 species